GCGCGCCACAGCCAGGGCGCGGGUCACGUGACCCACCGCCCAUCGUGGCUCCAGCCCCUUAUCCCGUGGCCUCCAGAGCCAGGUCCUUCCCGUUGCUUGGGGUCUGUGUCGGAGGCGCUGUGGAUGGGAGUGACGCGGCAGGAGGGAAAGAGGAGACUGAGAUGCUGCUAAGGAUCUAAUCCUGUUCAUGAACAGAUAGGUAACAACAAUCUUUUCCCUUACUCCUGUUUAAUCUAGACCAUAUAGCCAAGAACUCAACCAAUCACUGCUCACCCUUGGCCACUCCUACUUUCUCUAUUCUGGUUUCUGCUGGAGGAAGCUCCUGCUCUCUCAUUGCUGCUGGAGGAAGUCAUGGAACUAUGCUGACUGGAAAUUCAUGCUAUCAAAUACCAAGAGUGAACCAUCUCUUACAAUAAAAAAAGGAAAAAAAAAAAGGAAGCAGUUCAGCAAACUUAACCAACAUAUCAGUAUGGUUUUUCAAAGUAUCUUCUAAGAUUUGUGCUUUUGGCUUCAGAUACAGAGAGGAAGCUGUCAGAAACUGAUGAUGUGGCAGGUAGGCAGCCACCAGAAGAUUCAUCCUGUUUAUGUUUUCAUGACUCACCAAAAUAAUCGAGGAGACAGUGACAAGUCAAUUAAGCUAACUAGUCAUAAAGAUUCAGUCCUGGAACUUAUGCAUCUUUUAGAUAAGGGAAGAAGGACCACUUCUGAUUCCCUUUAAUCUCAUUUUUUCUGUGGCUUUCUGCUUGCUGGACAACAGUAGUCCAACGCAGGUAUAAAAUGGCAGGGAAAUAAAGUUGGUUGGUUAGAAAAAAUGGAGUGUUGGUUUACUGCUCUUCUUCCAUUACUGCCAAAGAGAAACAUUUAGGUGCUAUCUCUUCA